UUCUGGAAAGUGAAUCUGCAAAGUAGAGUUUCCCAGAGUCCUGUUUUGCAAUCCAUCAGAAUGGAGAAAGGAAGGGAGAACAGGAGGGAGUGAGCCAGGAGCUUUAUAUGGUUUAAACAUCUGUUCCCUCAGAGUCGUUCCAUGCCUGCCUGCCUUAUUAGAGGGUUUGGUGCUGGAGUUCUCUGACUGAACGCCAAAGUCCUUCCCUUUGUUUUUCUCAGUGACGUACACAAGAACUUUGAGGUGGUGUAAGAACAGAGGGAUU